GGCCGCCUCUCCAGGAAGUGACGUCACGCAAAGAGCUUUUUCUCCCUCCUCCUCAGCCCCCUACCCCCCGGAGGCACUAAUUCGAAUUGUGCGUGCGGCUCGGGCUCUUUGGCAGCUGGGUUGGACCUAGUGUUGUGAUGAGGAAAUUGAGUGUUCACAUUACCAUGUCUUUUCUACAAAUUACACCAAAAUGAACAUUUGUUAUGCUCAUGGAUUUGUGGAUCAGGGAUUCAAAUGGGGAUGACUUAUCUCCACUUCACAAUGUCUGAGGCCUCAGGUGGAGCACUUGAAGGCUGCGUCUGUCAUCACCUGAAGACUCAUCUGCUCACACGUCCAGGCAUUGAUGCUGGUGGAUGGGCUUCAUUCUAACCUAUCGAUUUUUAUCGUCAAUGAAAUGUAAGUGCCAUCCGACACCGUAUUCCACCGGAGCUGAUCAGUUGUCUGACACAUCGAGGGACAUGUGAGAUCAAUGGCUCCAGAGUUAUAGAAGAGAAUCAAACUGACAUAUUGAAAUACAUCCUUGGACAAAAGGACCCGGCUGAAAGUGGUUUCCAGAUAUCUCACCCUGCUGAUUUGGAUGUGAAAUGCAGGAAAACAGUGGUUGUUGGGAGGUGACUGAAGAGAGAAAAGUAAAUAAUUUCUGGUUUGGCCAGAUCUCUGAGGAGAGAUUCUACCUAUUCCCUGUAUACAAUGAACUGAGGAAGACUACUGACAUACGACUUACAAAGGACAUAGCUUGAAACUGGUAUUGGAAACUUCGUCCCUCACCCAUCAAAAGAAAUAAAGCACCUUUCCCCCAGAAAAGUAGAAGUAAAUUGCUGCAGUCCGUUUUCAAUUUCCUGGAGGAUUUAGAAAUACUUGACACCAGAUACUUAAAUCUCAAAAUACUGCACAUCGAGCUCAGCACUGCCUGUAGGAAGGAGGCUCUGAGGCAGCUGUCUAAAGCUUCAGUUACACAAAGUCAAAGGCAGUGGCGAAACAGGUGCUCCUACUCCUGACAGAUUAUCUGAACGUCAGUAGUCAUCGAUAUCUAUGUCACCACCCCUACAUCAUUCCCCUCACUUCAUCUGAUCACACAGGCAUUUUAUCGUGUCACAUCAUCACAAGAAGGGAAAACUAACAUUCGAAAACAACCCUGACAACAUGGCAAAAGUGAAGCAGAAGCAGCACACCUGCGAGCUCACCUGAGGCAGGGCGGACCUCCAUAGGUUACUGGACAAGCCCAAGAGCCCCGGAUGCAGCUGUACCGCCCUCAGGCGGCGGCGACUGGACCUCGCCUGGCGGCCGGCGCGGCGCUCCCUACGAAGGCGCCUGCGCAAAGCCAAGAAGUGGCGGCAGCUGAGGGGCAAGCGCCCCGUGGUGAGGAGGCAGCUGAGGGACGUGUUCCCGCUGCUUAGUUUGGUCGACAACCUGGUGGGCGUCUGUAAGGGACCUUCAGCCUUAUGGGAAUCAUGUCUGAGAUUAUCGGCCACAACCAGGGUGAGUUCUCCAUCAACCCUGGAAGCAAGACGCAUCCGUGCACCCACUCCCGCUUCAUCCUCCUCAAGUAGCAUGAAAGGUACAGACUUUUUUUUUUUUUAAUGUUUUUUACAAAUAUUUUGUUUAAUGAAGCUGAUACCGUGUCCCAUGCCACGCCAAAAAGUGAAAACAAAAUAUAAAAAGUGCAGUGCUCUGUUGUAUACACUUCUGCGUGAAUAACUUUAUUAACUGCUAAUAACACUUAGGACGUUUUUGGGAUCUUCUUACGGGAUUUUUUUUUAAAAUCUUAAAAUGCUUUCUCUUCAGUGAAGCCGUCUUUGGAUUUAGUCGUUACUGUCAGUGUGUGUGUUAUCUCGACUCCAAGUUGAUAUUCCGCCUCUUCUUUUGGUCCAGACCCUCAGAUUUUUUAAAUUUGAGAAUUAGACAACUCAAGGAUUUUCUGUGUCACAUGUUACUAGUGUAUUUUGGGGAGAAACUUAAUUGUAUAAAAUUGAUAUCUAUUAGGAGGAAAAUGAAAAUUAAGGCAACGAUGAGAGGCUGCGUUUCCAAAGAGUAGGCAAACCGAUUGAGUUGGGCCUCAACAUUCUGCAGGUUGUUUUCUCUUUUACCUCCUAUGAACUAGGGGAUGUUUGCUUAUUCUCAGUAGGAGAGGAGACAAAAUUGGUAUAGAGAAGCUCCUACAAGGCAAAGAAGUCAGCAUUGCUUUAAAUGAUUUUUCAGAUCUGAAGAGACAAAAAAUAGAGUUUGGUUCUGCCACAUCACCUGGAUUUGAAGAACAUGAAUAUCCCAGAAAGAAGGGUGGCACAGAGAAGUGAAUCAGAUAUUCCAGUUUUUCCCUCGAGAUGUAACUUUCUAAGCUUCUCAGGACAGGUGGCUAGAAUUCAGACUCCGUCUCCUUCAGCUCCUCUCUUUGUAUCCCAUAGUCUAGCAAGACUGCUAUACUUGCUUAGGUCCUCCUCUCUGCUCGGAGUUUGGUAAAUGUCCGCCUAUAAAAAGUGGGAGAUUUUAGUGUUUUCUUCUUUUUUUUCUUAAGGAUCACAGCCAUGCAUUGUGUGUUUUCUCAGUAUCUGUAAAGACUUGUUCCGUGCUUUUCCAGUGUUCUUGCUUUUAUGGAAAGAAGGCUAGUAUCAAGGCAGGUUCUGUCAUGGUUGAAAGUGGAAUUAAGGUUUUUUUAAGUUUUCAUAUUUAAAAAAAAUUGUUCUUGCAUGAUAGUAAUAGUUCAUCUUUGCCAUGAUUCUCGUUACUUUUUUAGAUUUUAUUUAGAAAUUAUAAACUUGUAUUAUGUAUAGUUUUUGAAAUUUGAGCUCCCAAAGAAACUUGAGAUGACUUAUAAAUCAACGUAAUAUGGAUAGAUGAAUUCAGAUUAAUUUAAGAAUCAAAGGCAGCUUAUCAAUGAAUAUCAACCAAUUUUUGAAAGAAACAUUUCAAAAAGAUCUUUUUUUCUAGCAUCUGGAUCAGUUGUCAUUUUUUUGCCAUGUUUUAGUUUAAAUAUUUAUUUUUAGUGAUUUAAUUUUUUGCUAUAUUUUAAUACAAGUAUGUAGAUAUACAUUUUAUUGUGCUUAACUCAAAACACAAAGCACAUGGGUUACCUUGUCUUUGUACCACACCUUCAACACCUUGCAGCAAGGUACCCAAAGAAUAGGAAUAAUGUUUGUCUGGGAUGGGAAUCAAGAUUUAGAAUUAUUGAAACUAUAUAUUUAAAGUUCUUCAUCUUUUUAAACAAAAGUGGAGGAAUUUUCCAGUUGUAACAGAAUGUAAUGGAAAUAGGGGAAACAAGAAGUGGCAGAUAUAUCAACCUCAGAGCUUUUCCACACUUGUUAUCUUGUUUGCUCCACACCAGUUAUUAGUAGAGGACAUGUUGUGAUGAAUAAAAGGCUUGAGAGAGACACUAGAGAUUGUGUCAAGUUAUGUCAAAUACAUCGUUCUGCAACGGGACUCAAAAGUACAUCUGAUGGGGCACCUGGGUGGCUCAGUCGGUUAAACGUCCGACUUCGGCUCAGGUCGUGAUCUCAUGGUCCGUGAGUUCGAGCCCCGUGUUGGGCUCUGUGCUGACAGUCACAGCCCGGAGCCUGUUUCAAAUUCUGUGUCUCCCUCUCUCUGACCCUCCCCUGUUCAUGCUCUGUUUCUCUCUGUCUCAAAAAUAAAUAAACAUUAAAAAAAUUUUUUUAAAGUACAUCUGAAAAUGACAUAGGUGUCAGUAAGUAUCCCUAGCCAUAUCCAAAUCCAAAAUGAUGUUUUCAUCUACAUUCAGAGCGCAAAUGGUGGGUUACCUGAACAAUUACACCAAUUCUUCAUCCCCAGGGCCAAUAUUCUGUUAAUUCCUGGAGCUGAUAAAUUUGUUGAUGGGCACUGUCAAUUCAGUCAAAUGGAGGUUGUGACUUUAUAAGAAGGAAGAAAUAUGCUGACUAAAUUUAAGGGGUAAUUAUAAAUUAUUAAUUAGUAAUUUUUAAUCUAUUUUCCAAUGAAGCAAAUUUCAGAAAGCAUUAUGUAUAUUAAAGGAGGUGAUUUAUUUCUUAAAAUCUUCUUAAGAGUUUGUUAAAUGGGAUAAAAUAUUCAGAGAUUCAAUAAGAAUUUUAUGAAAAUUGUUGUGAAAUCUGCGACCAUGUUACUUUGCAAAGACAAUAGUGUCUAAUUUAGGUCUCUUUGAUUUAUUGCAAGAAUUGUAAGGUAACAAAGAUGCUUAAAUUAACAGCUCUGCACUUUUUCUGGUUAAAACUGAAAGAAGCAUUAAAAACUUAACUGGCCUUCUAAUUUAAGAUUUAUAAAAAUAGUAUCAGCAAAAAAGUGCAAUGUAUAAUUAUACUUUUCCUAACAUGUUUACUUCUUUUUGUCAUUGUCUUGCUUUUGAAAACAAAUCUGGGCACCAAACACUAAAGUAUUCAACUGUUAUGCUAGCAUUUUUUAAAACAUCAUAACAAAAAUAAUUGUUUUAACAUCUGUUUCUUUUUCAAUAAAAUCUGUUAUCCUAGAUCAUCUGUAAAAUAUCACAGGCUUGGAGAUAAUUCAAAUUCAUUACUGUUCAUUUUGAAUUUAUGUGCUCUUUUGAAUACCUUACUGUUUGAUAGCCAUACUUUUGAAAUCACAUCUUUAUUUGAAUAUUAGGAAAUAAUACAUGCUUUUCCUCUUGAAAUAUUACUUAUCCAUUAAAACACAUGUCAAGUUCUACUUCCUUCUUCAAGUGUCCUGUUUUUUUCUAUCCUACACUGAUAUCUUCUGUUCUGAAUUCCUAUAUCUAUCUUGCUUCCUCUGUUCCCCUUGUGUAGUUUCAUGUACUCUUCACUUUUGUAUGACAGUAAGCCAGUUACACUUUAAGAUCCUUGAGGAUGAGAACCUUACUUUUAUACAUCCCUUCAAUAGUGUCAGAAAUAGAUAGAGCAAGUGUUUCAAAGAUAGUUGAUUAUCUUAGUUGGCUUUGAGUAACAAAACUAUCUCUUGCAACCUUAUCAUAUUGGUAAGAACUUUAUGGUCUUCAAAGUUCAUACCAAGGAAUCAUAUGCAGUAAUCAGAGCCAGUUGGCUAUAUCUCACAGCCAAACCUGUCUGAACAAUUUCUAAGAGAAUAUAUUUGAGAUAGUCAUAGGUUGAUAAGCUAUGGGGUAGUUGCUGCCUGGUAUUAUAACUGAGGCAUCAUGGUCUUCUGGAAGCCAUCAUGGAUCUCUUUAUUUCUAUUCUUGGCUGUUGCACAAUUGUCAAAUACAUAAUUCAAACCUUUAAUCUCAUAUAUUUCUCUGUGUGGGAACUGAGAGGUAAUUUUAGUAUAGCACCUUCUUUGUCAAAGAUGGUUAUAACAACCAAAAAAUGUCAGUGGAGAAAUAUUUAUACAUAGACCAACUUUGCCCAAAAGAAUCAAAAGGAGAUGGGAAUUUAGAGCAAAAAUUUUGAGGGGAAAGAGAUAUAGCACCUUCUUCCUUAGAUAUUUAAAAAAAAUAAUAUGUGGGAAUCUACAAGUUGCCAAUAAUAUUCCUUAGUAACUACCCUUUUUAGCUUUGACUACCCUAACUCUACUAAGAAAAUCAUUUGGCAGAAAUAUUUUUGCCUCCCCAAAUAUUUUGUUAUAUUCAGCUGAAUAUAUUUGGUUUAGUUUUGCAAAUACCAUUUUGAUACAUUUAUAGUGGACACAAACAAUAUUUAAUUUUGGAAUUCGACAUUCAAAGAUUCCCUCUGUGGGUUUUGAUACAUUUAUAGUGGACACAAACAAUAUUUAAUUUUGGAAUUCGACAUUCAAAGAUUCCCUCUGUGGGUUUUGUUUAGUUACUAGUUCCUUUUGAAAAUGAGUAGCAAAGUCACAUUAAUGAGUCAAUUCAGUAAUGGAGUAUAAAGUUUUCUUCAUUCUAGAAUGGUUGUCCUUUUCUCAGGAUUACCUUCUCCAGCUCAGUAGUAAGUAGAGAGCCUUUUCUUUGCUCCUUGCCAAGUAUUUUCAACUGGGAUAGCUUGCCCUGUUUCAUUGUUGUAAAACCUUGAAAUUAUUUGUCUUAUGGAAUUCUAUCAUUUUCCCUGAUAGCACAGUUCCUGCACUUGACAGAUAACCCAUUGACUUGAGGAACAUUUUGUUUUUCUAGAGAAUCUGAACUCAUAAAACAAUCAGAAAAAUUCAUUUAAAUGAAAUUCUACGGCAGUAUAACCUCUUUCAUUCUGUGCAAACACAUAAUGGAGUUUGGUUUCUAUGGUUACUUGUUGUUAGUCCUAUGCUCUUUGGUUCUGUGCAGAGCUGGACGGGAAAUCAACAAGGCUAGGGUUUCAUUAUAAUGAGGCAGAAACUGAGAUAGUUUCUUUAGUUGAUGGCCAUGCAGCAGUUUAGAAGAUACACAAUUUUAAGGUUACAAUUAUAAAAAAAAAAGUACCUUGGGGCUUUUCCUCAACACUAACUGCUUGUUUGGUAAUGUCAUAGGAACAAGAAUGAGAAGACUCAAAAGUGUAACUAUAUUGAUUAUCUGUUUAUCUGUUUAUAUAGAAUGUAUGGCUAAAAGAAUGUACUCAUUCAUAUAGUUGAGAUUUUCAAAAAGCAAGGAGUAGUUCAAGUACAGUAUCAGAGCUUAUGUGUGUCUGUGCAUGUGUGUGUGUUUUAAAAGAAAAUUCAGUUUACCAAUGUGUAUUUUGACAUAAGGUAUUUCCAACAAAUAAAAAAAUUGAAUGUCUUUGGAGAAAAGGUAUUCUCAGGAUUCUAUACUCAAGGAUAGCUCUGAUUCAUUUUAUUCAUGGAAGUUACUUAAUUUUUCUUAUGAAGCUGUAAUAUAAUACAGAUUUGGAAUGGUGUUCCAAAAAACAAGCUAUACCUUGAAAAUUAUGUUGUAGUUGUGUGUAAAAUUAAAAUAGUUUUAUAUACCUUUGGUUUAAUUUGGCAUCUGGAUAGUAGCCCUGAUGUAGCUAUUACCUUCAGAUUACCUCCAAAUAUGUCAAGGUUCUUAUACAGAAAAAGAGGCGAGAAAACUGAUGGCAGAAGUCUUUGAAGAUACACCAUUGGAUCCCCAUUUCCAAAAUACAGCCAUACUGGAGGAUUACAGCUUCAACUUAUGAAUUUUGGGAACAGGAGCGGAAACAUUAAGUCCGUAAUCAUCUAGUAGGAUGGAAUUUCCAUGUCUAACCAGUAUUAUCAUGCAACUGACUUCUAAACACAAGAAUACUAUGGGUCCCUUCAGUGGCAGAGCUGAAAUCUAGUGUCAGCACCAGAGUGACACAGAUGUGAAAAAAUAUAGUUUUUAAAGCUUUUUGGAAGGUGUGAUUCAUUUGUCGGGAACUAUCAACUGUGGGAAAGAUGUUCAAACUAUUUUAGGCAGUCACAGAAGACAGAAAGUCUUUAAAAGUGCAUAUGGAAGAACUAUGAAAAUAAAUGUGUUGUGUAAAAAUCCUAUUAAUUUCAGGGUCCUUUUGUGAAAUAAAUGAGUCAUCAGGAAAUUAACAAAGUUGACAAAGUCAUUAUGGAAACCUGAGAAAGCUGAAGUAAAUGAGAAUGUUGCUUUAUCACCUUAAGGGAGUAGAUUUGGAUUAUAUUAUAAGAUACUUUUUUUCAAAUCCUCAAGAAACAGUUAAUUUUCAGCCUGUUUAAAUGUUUCUAGAACCUAGAGAAAGGGAAAAAGCUACCCUAUAAUGCUGAUAACAGAGCCUAACAAAGAGAAUAUAGAAAAAUCAAUCUCAAUUAUGAAUAUAGAUAUAAAAAUAGCAAGUAAAUUAUCAGUAAAUGAUAUCCAACUGUAUUUAAUCCAUCAUGACCAGUGGGGUUCAUUUUAUGAAAGCAAGAAUGGAUCAGUACUAGGAAAUCUAUUGAUCAUAUUCUUCAUAUUACCAGAUCUAAAUGGGAAUAUAUUUAACUGUCCUCAUGUAAAAUUUGAUUGAGUAUAAUUAUCAUUUCUGGCUCAAAAUAAAAUACUAGAAUUUUUGCCUUGACUCAAUAAAACUAUAUAUAUAUAUAUAUAUAUAUAUAUAUAUAUAUAUAUAUAUAUAGGACUCUAAACCUGCACCAUGCUUCAUGUGUAAUGUUAAUCUGUUUAAUUGGAUAGUUCAUUUAGCACAAAUUAAUAGGUAUAAAUGUUUUUAAACAGAGGUAAUCGUUUUAUUACUUACAGACCAAUUAUCUACGUAUCUUUGGGCAACAAAACCAUCAAGAAAACUGAAAGAAGACAUGUAGUAUAUACGAUGAUGAGCGUGUCUUUGAGGUCUGACAUUUAGCUGGGCUAUUUGCCACCCUCGACAGUUGUUUAACGUUGGAUAAUAGAUCAACUUGACUAAAUCUCAUUUUGUGUAGGUUCAAAUGGACAUGCCAUUUGCACCAGUUCUUUAUUUUGAAAGGGUAAAAUGAGAUUACACACUCAAACACCACACAUAGGGUUGGCACAAUGUGAGUGCGGAAGCUGUUUAUUGUUAUUGUUGUUUUAGGAUACAUAGAAUAACAAAUGUGAAGUAGAUCUAAAAGAAUCAGUAAAUUCAUUUUAUGCUAGUAAUAUCCAGUCUUAAUUAAAAAAAAACCCAAACCAUUGAAUUCAGCAUCCUUUUUUUUAUUUAUGAAAACAUGAAAAUAUAGUUGUCAUUAUAUUAUCAGAAAAGUAAUCCCACAAAUUCUGUCUUAACACAUGUAGGAAAACAAACUAAGAUAACAGAAUAAUAACAAAAAGACACCUUGACUGACUUGAAAGACCUAAUUGACUAAAAAUAUGACUUGUUAUCAUUUUUUUUUUUGCCCACAAACUUUUAAUUAGUGUCUAACAAUUUGUGGAGAAUUGGGAUGACUAAUUGAUUUUGGUUGUGCUAAAUACGUUUGUACCAGCAUCAUCAUUAACAAUUGUUGAAGAAUUAAAGUAUCACAACUCUGGGACCUCCUAGUUCAGUGCAUUGAUGCUGUAAGGCUAGGAGAAUGUGAAUACCUCCUGAAAUAUGAAUCAAUUUCCAGUUGUGAUUGCAUUCAAAUAAGCAAUGUAUAAGCAUAUUAGAAGGAAGUCCAAUACAAAUCUUCAUACUAUUCACUGUUUCAUUUUCCUUUAAUUUUAUAUAUGCUACUUCACAGAUAGGCUUUUAGUAUUUGAAAUUGAUUUUAUUCUUCCUGAUUCAAUAGUCUGAAUGAACAAAAAUGACCUUUAAUUCAUUCAUCCACUUGUUUAUUCAUUCUCAUAACAAAUAUGUACUGAGUACCUACUCAAUGUCAGGCAUUCUACUAGAUGAUUGGAAUACAUUAGUGAACAAAACUUACUUUCUGACUUUCUGUGGCCUAUAUUCUAGUGGUAAUUUCCUUAUAUUGCAGGUAUAUGAUUCCUGGGAAUUAUGUAGAUUAGAAAAAUAAAUUUUGGUAUAUGUGAAAAUUUCUCAUCAGAAGAAAUCAAUAUUACUUUGCCAGUAGUGGUCCUGUUUAGAUAUUUUAAAUGUCUUCCCGUACUUCUUAUUACAUAGAACUAUCCCUGUGCAACAGAAAAUAAUUUAAAAACAAUGCAUGACCUGUGUCAGAUUUAGCUUAGCAAAUUCAACCAUCAAUCUGUAUUUCCAAGACCAGUUUUCUUAUACUAAUUAUAGUAUCUAUACAUUCUUUUUUAACAAUAUCCUUUGUCUCUCAAUGAGCUGUAAAUGUUCUCUCUGUGUAACAAAUUGAAUAUUCAGUUCAAUUUAACAAAUAUUUUAAAUGAAUGUUACUGUGUUACAUCUUAUUUAAUGAAGAGAUUUAUUUAAAAACUCUUUUUUCAAGGACUUUACAGUUGACUGGGUGAGAUUGUCCAAAAAUAAUGAAAUUUAACAUAAACGAGGGAAGAAAACAAAAAAACAAAACAAAACAAAUAAGGGCAUCAUCAUUAAGCUCAGCCUUGAAAAACAUGGACAAAUGUUUACAGACAAAGAAUGAAGGAAGAAAGGAAAGUCCAGUUUGAAAGAACAGGAUAAAGUCAUACAGAUAAAAGAAUGAAAAUAUAUUUGAACAUUGAAAGAUGUUGAGAAAUUCAAAGUGGCUGGAAAAUAGAGUACAUGAAAGCAGUGGCAAGAGAUGAGUCUGGAGAUAUGUAAUUGUGAAGAGGCUUAAACACUAGGAUAAGGAGUUUAAACUUUACCCUAUAAGUAGUAGA